ACUCAAUUUUGUGUAUAAAAUCUAUGUCAAGUUCAUUAUUAAAUUUAUUAGAGGAAGAUUAUUUAAACUGAAAAGAUUAAUAAUUGUAGCCUCCCCCCCUUUUUCCCCCCCUCUUUUUCCUCCAAUCAGGUCCAAGUGGGAAAAAGUUGGGAAAAGAGUAAGCAAUUGCCUUAUAUAAUCUGAUGUGGAAAGUAUUACACAGUAAAGAAGGCAAAAGAAAAGAAAACAACAAAUAGACUCAAUCUUGGAAAUUUGGGGAGUUGUCCAAUGAAAAAACAAAUCCUACACAGUAAGUUCCAUCUCUGAAUUUCAACAAAGUCGAAAGGAAUCUAGUAAUUGCUCUGUGAUAAGGAGAGCUCCACUGAAGGAUUUUCCUGAGGCUCAGAACACUGAAGGUCCAACAAACUCGAGAAAGUCCAUGGGCCUCGAAAGGCCACAGAAGCUGGAUGAGCUGGAGGCUAAUGUGUAGUGGUGAAAGGUCAGCCAUCUCUGGAAAAAGCCAAACAAUCCCUAUCAAUCUAUUCAGCAGCUGAGAAAGUAUUGGAACUGAGUGAGAUGAACUGGUAUAAAUGAGCUGGCAUUCUACCUGUGCUUCCGUUUUAUUAUUUCUAUUCUAUUUCUGGCUUUAUAUGUGCCACAAGUGACUAAAAUGAAGUCUGCCCAUAUUGUGCUAAAAAGUGGGAUGGGAACCCAAAUGAUACUUUGCAUGUCAGCCACUGUCUUUUAAGAAAGUCUUUAUCCCUCACUUCGGAAAGGGUAAAUAAGAAAACACCUUCCUGAUGAAAACUAUGAGAAUAUUGCAACAUCUUUAUGCCUCAUGUGUAUGAGAUACCAGUCUUAAGAGAUUCCUGUUUGCUAGCAACAUGAGAUUCCUGACUGAGUACUUUCUGCCAAACAUUUCUUGGACUAUCUUGUGUCAACCUUGCUGAGGUGGGCUGCAGAGUCAAGAAAAGUCUCAUAUUACAGGAAUUAAAGGGCAGUAGGCAAGAAGCAAAGUUGUAAGCGGUUCAAGGACACUUGCAGAAUUUUGGUACAAGGUAUUAUAUAGUAAGAUGGAUAACAAGAAACUUGGAAGUCAAUGUGAAUUCUUUAUUUAUGCACUCUCUUGUCUAUAACUUUUCCUCUUUCUUUGAUGUAUUUGAAAAUGUUUAAUAAAAUGUGUUUUUAAAAGAAAAACCAGUUGUGAGACAUUUGUUUAACCAACACAAAAAAGGUCCAUGACACUGACUAAUUUCCUGACAGAUUUUAAUAACCCAUUAAUAGGAAAAGUGCUCUGGAUCAUUUUUGUGGAUUAGCUAUUGUAGAUACUGUACAAGACCAGCACUAUUUUACAAAAUGUGCAAGAGGUCUGCUUCAUCUCUAGGUGGUUUUUGAUAGAAAAAAAGUUGAUAUCUGUGGCCACUGUCCCAUCUUCCAGCCAGUUUGUGGGGUGACUUUGUAGACAUGCCGAAGCAAACUGGAUCUCAUUAAUUCACAUUCUGAUCCAGAUUACAUGGCUGUGUAGAAGGAGCCUCAGUCUCAGAGGAAAACUGUUGCUAAGCCCUUCUGAAUAAAUCUGGCAAGAAAACCCUGUCUUAAGGUUGUCAUAAGUGAGAAAUGACUUGAAGGCACACAGCAACAAGGAAUGCAUGUGUGAGAGAGGGCUGUAUGUGUUAUAUGGCCCUUUUCAGAUUUUUGAUGUAGUAAAGCCACUAUAAAUUGAGUGGAUGAUCUUCUGUCAUAUAAGUGCAGAAUUUAUUCUAUAUAUUCCAUGUCAAUAUAGAAUUAAUUGUAACUAUUUAUGAUUUACAAUGAUGUGCCGUUUUCUAGAGGAAUAGUUGUUGUAGCCCAUGAGGAGGGGUGGGAUGGGACCUAAAGUUGUCCUUAAGAAAUAAAAAUUUGAAUUAUUGAAGGCUUUUAUGGCCAGAAUCACUGGAGUGUUUUGUGGUUUCCAGGCUGUAUAGCUGUUUUCUAACAGCAUUUUCUCCUGAUGUUCCAACUGCAUCUAUGGCUAGCAUCUUCAGAGGAUCUAAAAUGUUAUUAGUACUUAUUCAAUAGACAACUGU
rnacentral:lncRNA from 1 species